GUAGGUGAACCUGCGGAAGGAUCAUUAACACUUUUUUCCCAAUACCUUCUUACAUCUUACACCCCUUUUUUUCUGACUUUCUUUUUUCUCUGGCCAUAUACAAAAAAGCCAGAGGAGGAGGGAAAACACCUUUUUUUUUAUUAUUACAAAACACUAUUAACCCCCCUUUUUAAAAUUAACAUUUAAACAAAAAAACCCCAAAAUCAAAAAAUACUAAAAAAGAAUUUAAUUAACAAAAAAAAAACAAUUCUUAACAAUGGAUAUCUUGGUUCUC
rnacentral:misc_RNA from 1 species